ACAGGGAUUGCCCCAGUAACGGCGAGUGAAGCGGCAACAGCUCAAAUUUGAAAUCUGGCCCCUAGGGUCCGAGUUGUAAUUUGUAGAGGAUGCUUUUGGUGAGGUGCCGCCCGAGUUCCCUGGAACGGGACGCCGCAGAGGGUGAGAGCCCCGUCUGGCUGGCCACCGAGCCUCUGUAAAGCUCCUUCGACGAGUCGAGUAGUUUGGGAAUGCUGCUCAAAAUGGGAGGUAUAUGUCUUCUAAAGCUAAAUAUUGGCCAGAGACCGAUAGCGCACAAGUAGAGUGAUCGAAAGAUGAAAAGCACCUUGAAAAGAGGGUUAAACAGUACGUGAAAUUGUUGAAAGGGAAGCGCUUGUGACCAGACUUGGGCGCGGCGGAUCAUCCGGGGUUCUCCCCGGUGCACUUCGCCGUGUUCAGGCCAGCAUCAGUUCGGCGCGGGGGAAAAAGGCUUCGGGAACGUGGCUCCUCCGGGAGUGUUAUAGCCCGUUGCAUAAUACCCUGGCUGGACUGAGGACCGCGCAUCUGCAAGGAUGCUGGCGUAAUGUGCACCAGCGACCCGUCUUGAAACACGGACCA
rnacentral:rRNA from 1 species